rnacentral:rRNA from 1 species
CAGCCGCCGCGGUAAUACGGAGGGUGCAAGCGUUAAUCGGAAUUACUGGGCGUAAAGCGUGCGUAGGCGGUUCGUUAAGUCUGUUGUGAAAGCCCCGGGCCCAACCUGGGAAUGGCAAUGGAUACUGGCGAGCUAGAGUGUGUCAGAGGAUGGUGGAAUUCCCGGUGUAGCGGUGAAAUGCGUAGAGAUCGGGAGGAACAUCAGUGGCGAAGGCGGCCAUCUGGGACAACACUGACGCUGAGGCACGAAAGCGUGGGGAGCAAACAGGAUUAGAUACCCGGGUAGUCCCUGUCUCUUAUAC